AAUUGAGGUGUGCGAUGAGGUGAUCUCUGCUUCGAUUAAGAAGAUACACGAGCAUCGGAGGAGGCGGGCGUUCUUUCUUGGGUUUAGCCAGUCUCCGGUUGAGUUCAUAAAUGCGCUGAUUUCAUCACAGAGUAAGGAUUUGAAGAUGGUUGCUGGGGAGGCAAGUCGGAAUGCGGAGAGGGAGCGUCGAUCUGAUUUCUACAACCAACCAUGGGUCGAAGAUGCUGUUAUACGCUAUCUGAAUCGCAAGCCGGCAGGCGGUAAUGAUGGCCCUGGAAGCACAUGAUGCAUCUCUUAUGUUUGGGAGAAGGAAACCAUGCAUAUUUUCAAAAUGGCGAGUUUCGUUGUCUGGAGUUCAAGAAAUCACCCUGGAGUUUAAGAAAUCACCGGUUGUCUUUCGUGGAUGAAUGUUGUACCAUUAGGUAACUUGGUCGAUCAGAUGAAAUGUAGGAUAAGU
rnacentral:misc_RNA from 1 species